rnacentral:SRP_RNA from 1 species
GCCGGACUUGGUGGCUGCACCUGUAGUCUCAGCUACUUCGGAGGCUGAGGUGGGGAGGAUCACUUGAGCCCGGGAGUUCUGGGCUAUAGUGUGCUCUGCCGAUUGGGUGUCUGCAUUAAGUUCGGCAUCAAUAUGGUGACCUCCUGGGAGCAGGGGACCACCAGGUUGCCUAAGGGAGGGGUGAACCAGCCCAGGUCAGAAACAGAACAGGUCAAAACUCCUGUGCCGAUCAGUAGUGGGAUCAAACCUGUGAAUAGCCACUGCACUCCAGCCUGGGCAACAUAGUGAGACCCCAUUUCU